rnacentral:rRNA from 1 species
AUUGAACGCUGGCGGCAUGCCUUACACAUGCAAGUCGAACGGUAACAGGUCUUCUGCUGCUGACGAGUGGCGCACGGGUGAGUAAUACACCGGAACGUGCCCCGACGUGGGGGAUAACGCGGCGAAAGCUUUGCUAAUAUCGCAUACGAUCCAAGGAUGAAAGCAGGGGACAGCAACGCCUCGUGCGCUUUGAGCGGCCGAUGGCGGAUUAGGUAGUUGGUGGGAUAAAAGCUUACCAAGCCGACGAUCUGUAGCUGGUCUGAGAGGAUGACCAGCCACACUGGAACUGAGACACGGCCCAGACUCCUACGGGAGGCAGCAGUGGGGAAUUUUGGACAAUGGGCGAAAGCCUGAUCCAGCAAUGCCGCGUGCAGGAUGAAGGCCUUCGGGUUGUAAACUGCUUUUGUACGGAACGAAAAGGAUCUGGCUAAUACCUGGGGGACAUGACGGUACCGUAAGAAUAAGCACCGGCUAACUACGUG